rnacentral:rRNA from 1 species
AUGAACGCUAGCGGCAGGCUUAACACAUGCAAGUCGAGGGGCAACACGGGUAGCAAUACCUGGUGGCGACCGGCGCAAGGGUGCGUAACGCGUGAGCAACAUGCCCUAUACAGGGGGAUAAUCCAGGGAAACUUGGUCUAAUAUCCCAUAGUAUUUAGAGGUGGCAUCACCACUAAAUUAAAGCUUCGGUGGUAUAGGAUUGGCUCGCGUGACAUUAGCUGGAUGGUGGGGUAACGGCUCACCAUGGCGAUGAUGUCUAGGGGUUCUGAGAGGAAGACCCCCCACACUGGGACUGAGACACGGCCCAGACUCCUACGGGAGGCAGCAGUGAGGAAUAUUGGACAAUGGAUGGAAAUCUGAUCCAGCCAUGCCGCGUGCAGGAAGACGGCCCUAUGGGUUGUAAACUGCUUUUAUAUGGGAGCAAUAAGGUUUACGCGUAGACCGAUGAGAGUACCAUAUGAAUAAGCAUCGGCUAACUCCGUG